AUGGCUGUGGACCGUGUUACGUUUGAAGUUGAGCUGAAAAUAAGGUAUCGUGGAGCGGAUCAGCGUCAAGAAAAAGCAUCGCUCACUUGCAGCUACAGUUACGGGUCUGCGAGGGAUACCACCCCUCUAUUCAACGGAUAUUGUUGUGCGGCACGGUUAACACUUGAACAACUUCGUAGAGCAAUCCAGGCAACUGUCGUCGGCGUUCGAGUUGUUGAAGGGGGUUGGCCUUUCAAAUAUGGAUGUCGAGUUUCUUGUUCCUUCUCUGCUGAUGCAGAGGAUCCCUCACCUUGGGAAGUUGUGUUGCUUAAUUGUCGUCAUGAUGAAAUCCCCGUGGGAUCAGACGGUUACUUUCGCCUGUCAAGGAAUGUUGUGUCAGCCGAAUUACAAUCAACAAUGAAAGUUAUCAUACAAGCACACUCGAGAUGUGGUCACAAAGUUCCAAAGGGUCAUGUCGAUUUCCCCGUCCAACAUUGCCAAACAAGCAAGGGCUCAUGUUUAGUAGGCAACUCUAGGGUCGAGGUCGUUGUUGCUUGGUCCCUCAUUGUCACGAACAAGAUAGAUCUCAUG
rnacentral:rRNA from 1 species